UACGUAGGUGACAAGCGUUGUCCGGAUUUACUGGGCGUAAAGAGCGCGCAGGCGGUCGUUCAAGUCGAGUGUGAAAGCCCCCGGCUCAACUGGGGAGGGUCACUCGAUACUGAUCGACUCGAAGGCAGGAGAGGGAAGUGGAAUUCCCGGUGUAGUGGUGAAAUGCGUAGAUAUCAGGAGGAACACCGGUGGCGAAGGCGGGUCUCUGGGCAACAACUGACGCUGAGGAGCGAAAGCGUGGGGAGCGAACAGG
rnacentral:rRNA from 1 species